rnacentral:lncRNA from 1 species
UGUGGGCGUGGUGGUAAGGGUUGAUGUAGAGGCAGAGGAAGCUCUGAUAGUAUUGAAUCCUGAUCAAGUAGAGAUUCCGGACCAAUCCAACCUAAAUGACAACCUUUUGCUUGUCCAUAAAGCUCAAAUAACGAUAUUUUUAGCAGAGAUGACACAGAUGUGUCAAUAGCUAUAGGAAGAUGUGGUAUGAGAGUCAAUGAGACAACUCUCCA